rnacentral:lncRNA from 1 species
GGUUUAAAGGAGCUUGAAGACGUUCCUCAGAUUUUCAGCAUGACCUGACGCUGUGGUGCUACUCAAAAUACGUGAGCAGUGGUGAGAAGUUAACCCUCCAUUUAUGUCACCAGCUGCCAGCACAUCCUUGGCUGAGCUCCACAGCUCUGUGGUGGUGGCACUGGGCAUUUCAAGACACUCUGCAUGGCUCAGACACACAGUAUGGGGGGCAGAUCAGAUGUUUAGCAGGCUUAGAGAAGAUAACUCCAUAUACCAGGGCACCGGGGAGCCAUUACUCCAUGAAGAUAUCUGCAACACCCUUGGAUGGCUCCAUUCCCUUUCCCCUACCAAAGACCGGUCUUUGGCUGGAGUCAAAAGUGAGUGCAGUGACUCUGUAAUUAAUUCUCAUCUUCCCUGGGACCGAGGAAGGGAUUUACGGUCCCUGAGGGCAGGGGAUGUUUUCUGAAGGAUGCGGCCCUGGAGAACUGGAGGCUGGUGAAUGCCUGAAAUGUCGCUUGAAACUCAGGGGUGAAGCCACGAUUGGUGGGAAAAAAACAGCAGCUCUGCAGGAGAGAAAUGCUCAUGGGAGAGGGUGUACCCGGAGAGCAGUGGAGGAAGCAUGUGUGAGGGAGCAGCUGCAGAAACAGGCUGUGGGGAGGUGGCAAACGCUUUGGGAAUGAACCCUGGAAAAGAGAAACUCAGAAAAGGGAAAAAUGCAGUGACAGGAGGGGAGAUGAAACGAGGGCUGCCAGUGGAAACAGCCUGGGGAUGAGGCUGUGUGGGGACAGGAGCACUUGGAUCUGGUGAUAUCAGGGUGUUUCAGUCACUGUGGGAUAUGAUCGGGCUUACACCGUGUGAGGAGAACCUAAGCAAAACCACUGGGAAAGAGCCUAAAGCCAAGGCAGCUUUAAUUUAGGGAUCUCAGCCAAAAGUUAGACAGGAUGAUUCUGGAUAUCUGUACAGAUAGAGAAUACAUACGGCAGAGUGCUGCACAGCAGAGCCUAGCAUUACCAUGGUGAGAGUUGGUAGGUGAGUCAUCUCAGAAGGCACCAGAGAUGGCUGUGCACUCCGAUGUACAACGAACACCAUUUAUUGCAUAAUUAGAAGUGCACACAAUGUGCUAACUGGUGUGUUGGCCGUGGUUCCUGCUAUUGCACAUUUUAAUUCAUCUGUCUGGAAACAACUAUCUUAUGCUAUUAGCUCUAAGAUAAUGCUGGUGUGAAAUAGUGAAUGACAAAAUACUGCUGGAAAACUAUAAGCUGUUAAAUGCACAUGUUAAA